rnacentral:rRNA from 3 species
UCGGAUCAGGUAAGGAUACCCGCUGAACUUAAGCAUAUCAAUAAGCGG